GGGGGGAGAAAUGGGAAAAAUGUCAAUUAAUCUCCCAACUUUAAAAAAAUGGUCAUUUUAUACAUCAACUUUGUAUGCGGCCGUUUAAAACAUGAACUAAACGUUGAAUAACUUUUAAAACAUGAUCAUUCGUUGAUCAGGCCAAACUAGACAUGCCGUUAUCAGUCAUUAACGGAACUUUUAACGUCCGUUAUCAUCCGUUAACGACUUUAUUAGUCAAGUUUUAAAUUGUGGUCAUUUUAAACAUCGACUUUAUAUGUGACCAUUUUAAACAUGAACUAAGCGUUGACUAUCAUUUAAAACAUGAGAAAUUCGUUGACCAAGCCAAAAUAUACAUGUUGUCAUCAUUCAUUAAAAGAACUUAUAACAUUCGUUAUCACUUGUUAACGACUCUAUUAGUAUCCCUAAAACGACUUUGUUUUGAGAAUAAUCAAAAGAAAAUCAAGAUUGUUUUCUAAAUGAAAACCCCAAUUCUCAAAAUCUAUUUCUACAACCGCCCAAACAAUACGAACAGUCUUAUAAUGGGUCCUCAAUUUGCUUCCAUGAUUCCUUUUAAAAUUUAAAACAA
rnacentral:sRNA from 1 species